rnacentral:other from 1 species
AAUUACCUGGGAUGUACGACAACCUGUUAUUUUGAACCUACAAAUUAUGCACGGGAAUCUGAUUUCCUUACUAGAUAUGCCAGGCCGCAAGCUAAUUCCCUUUGGGCAGCGGAAGGCAAAAUGAGUAAGAAAGAUACCCACCUAGAGGAAUCUAGGGCGUCAAAAUUGCAGGACCGGCAUUUUGGGCAUUAU